UACGUAGGGUGCGAGCGUUUAAUCGGAAUUACUGGGCGUAAAGCGUGCGCAGGCGGUCUUGUAAGACAGAGGUGAAAUCCCCGGGCUCAACCUGGGAACUGCCUUUGUGACUGCAAGGCUUGAGUGCGGCAGAGGGGGAUGGAAUUCCGCGUGUAGCAGUGAAAUGCGUAGAUAUGCGGAGGAACACCGAUGGCGAAGGCAAUCCCCUGGGCCUGCACUGACGCUCAUGCACGAAAGCGUGGGGAGCAAACAGG
rnacentral:rRNA from 1 species